UUUGAAAAUUUUAUUAUAUGACAUAUUGAGUUUGCGCACAGUUCUUGUUAUAUGAAUACAGGUGUGAUAGAUGAUUGCACAACUCCAAGGACAAAAGGCCAAAAGUGAACAAGAAAAAUUAACAUGAAUUCUGGCAUUUUACUUUCCUUUUAUGAAGGUUGUAGUAGAUGAACAAAACCAAUACCUCCAAACUUUUACCUGACUGAAACUCGACACUUAAGCAUGCGGAUCCCCUUCCAAUUAAUUCCACCACACAAUCUAAGAAGAGAAAAGCAAAAGAAUGAAGUUUACUUCUUUACAAUAGCAUAUAAUAAAAAAAUAAGAAUCAUAGCAUGAUUACUGACACCACACCGAAAGUAAUUAUACCAAGGAAGCAUUCCAACAUUCUUGAAUGCAAUUGAAAUAAAAGAUAACCUGCCUACUUACAUCACCAUUUAAAUAAAACAAUUACCAUUUUAAAAGUUAAAGUGGAACUCACGCAUGUCUUAAAAUCAAUAAAAGGAAUUAUCAAUGCCUCUCCCUUUUUUUCUCACAUUAUGAAACACCAUAAGACACAACUAACCCCCUUUUAAAUCCUUCUCUUAUAACCCAUACUUUAAGUUCUCUUUUUCUCUUCUUCUAACUAUCACAUUCUUCCUCCCAAAUCUCUAUCUCUAACUACUACUCAUAAAACAUAAAACAUGGUACUAACUUUUUUCCUACAUUUGUGUUUAUUGUUCAAAGCUUCUUUUAUACUUCGUUGAUGUCUUAAUGAUUUUGCACUUUUCCCCCUGUGUUGUUUAUAGGUUCUGGUUGCAGGUCAUGGAGAGGAGGAAAAAGGGGCAGAAGGCAUUGCUGUUGUGGAUUUUUGAGGCAACCCAGUACACAAGACAAAAACCGGAGGAUGGCUAGCAGCAGGGCUCAUCUUAGGUUCAUAUUCAUCUAAAUCCAUAGAAAUUGUAGUCAUGUUCUCAAGGUUGAACCUAAUUUGGCUCCAACAAUUUAUACUAUUUAUUCACAUCUCUUUAGCAUAUAUCAAUUUAUAUCCGAUGAUCACCAGUUAACACCCUCACACAAAUUCAGCACACAACAUAGAAAGAGAAAGACAAGUUCCAACUUAAAACAAUAAUAAAAUGUAUUUUGGCUAUAUCAAAAGUUCAUUUUCUAGAGUUCACCAGGUUACGACUACUUCAACACACCAAUUUAUCAUAUUUCAAGCCACAUACAAUAUAAUUUAUCACACUAACACAAUAUAACAUUAUAAAACAUCUAUUAAACAACGAAUUAAUACUUACCAAGUC
rnacentral:lncRNA from 1 species